GUGAAGAGGCAAGAGAAGGAUUUCAGUGUAAAACGGUCGCCCUGUCCCGUUAUUUCCCGCAAGGGAGAUCUCGGAGCAGAAGCCUGUGGAUUCAAGCUUCACAUCUUAAAACUUUCGCAGCCACAUGGCUGCUGAGUUUUCAAGGGGCAUCCCCGCUUCACUUGCUUGUUCUAAGUCUCGCCCGGCGGGGGAGGGAGGGUGUCCCUCCAUCCAUCCAGCGGGGGUGAAUGGCUGCUUCUAUGCUAUGGAGUUACAAUGGCAUAGCUACGGUGCUGUAACUGGGCAUCUAUACCAUCCAUGGUAUAGCCAUGACCACAGUCUCUCCCAACUUCACAUACGAAGUCUGUGGCUGAGCCACGAAGAUAACCUCUCUCUCCUGGGUCCCAGUGCAGUGGUCAGAACAGAAGAACGUCCUUUCUCUUCUUGCAACCAUCUUCCUGAUUUACUGUGAUCCAGUGUGCUGAAUUAGGCAGAACCUCAGCACAUCUAAGCUGGAGAUUCGCUCUCAGAACCAUCAUCUUGCCAAAACUUUACUGGAUUUAAACAUGGAAAUGCAGAGACUGAGAAAUGAAAAUGAACUGUCAGCAGCUUCAGAAUCCAAGGCACUGAACAUUGCUGUAAGCCCAGAAUAAUAAACUGCAUUUCAAGACAUAAACCCUGAAGAUGAAAUAUACAUUCCAUAAAUGAUUCUGACAACAACAUUAUGGAUAAGCUGCAAAAACUUCUAGAUCCAAUUUGGUAGCAGAAUACAUGGCAUUAUUUGAAAAUUACAGCAAAGUUCAAGUGUGAAUCUUGGGGGUGGGGAAUGCUGUAUGUAUUAGGGUUUGAAAUCUUCCUGUCUUGUGGGAAAUGGGGGUGGAGGGAGAAGUAAUGUCUAUAAACUGUGGGAUCUUUCUGCUUCAUUCUUAUUCCUCUAUAUGUUUACUGUUCUGCCAGUUUUAUUGCCUAGGGUUACCUUAGCAUUCAGAACCCAGGCCCAUUUUAUUUCGUUACCGUCACUUCAAGUUUUCAUUAGUUUAAAUGUUUUUUCCUCCAGAGUGAAAAUUUUUAAGUGUGCCCUGGAAUUAAUUCAUUUUAUGUUGUUUUUUUUAAAACAACAUAUUUUAGUACCAAAUAACAAUUUAAUUUUCUUUACUAGACUCAAAUAACUGAAAGAUCUGAGGAUGAUUCAUAAAAGCAGACAUAUCUAGGCCAUAAAACUCCAGUGUAUUUAAAAUGUAUAUAACUGUAAUUGAACUUUUAGCAAUAAAAACUAGUGUCUAAAUGCUGAGGAGAAGGUGACUUUUUAACCCUUUUAUUGCACUCAUGGCCUGUAUUGAAGUUGGUAGAAUGAACAUGUUUUAUGUUCAUUUUGGUAAGUAUGCCAACAAAAGUCUGUAUUAUCUUCUUCGGGGAAAAAAUCUACUAGAAACUCCAUAUUUACCUCCAAAUUAUCUUAGAGUAGAUGACCAGGGCAUGGAGGAAGCAGGCAGCUUGUCUUUUGGAACAUGUAGCUGUACUAAGAUCUGUGGGAUUUCACUGCAGAGCUGUGGGCAUUUGUAGAGGGCCGAGAAAUUUACACACAGGCCCCAGUGCCUCUAUGCUGCUCCUUUUCCCUGAUAGUAUGGUUCCCUAAAGAACGCUGCAGGUCUUGGCAUUGUUCGGCAGGUUUCAGUCUCUGGAAGGGGAGAGUUUGUAAGAUAAUGCUGAUACGAUUUUACUGCGGAGGAUCCUUAUUGGUGUGCCGGAGGAUGAUGCUAUGUCACAGUCCCAUUUUUGGUGGGAUCAGGAGGACAGAGCAUGCUGCAUUGUUCCUGCUCCAUCCUUCUUCACACCAGGAGUCCUGGUUCUUUUAACUUUGGCUUCCCUCUGCCUGUGGUAGCUAAAGGGAGCAUAGAAGCCAAAUGUAGCUGCCGAUAGUACAGCCAUUACACACAUGUGUAAUUCGUAUUUAAAUCAGUGUGAACUUUGGCUACCUCAGUGCUUCAGGGCCCUAACUUACCUUGUGAACUUUUGGAUGAGGGGAGCUAACAAGCAUUUUACUUAAGUGUGCAAAUGCUUCAGGCUUGCUCCUGCUGAUGGCAAUAAGAGCUUUUAUCAUUGAUUUCAGUUGAAGCAGGAUUGGGGUUAUGAUGUUAUUUCCUACACAGUGACAACUGUGACUGCAUAGGAUUGGGGAGAGGAUUGGGCCCAGACUAGGAAGAAGUUGUAAUCUGUGAA